UUUACCUAAACAGAUGAUUGCUGCUCUUCAGACAGAAGCUGAGAUUGAAAGAAGUGAAACAAAUUGUGUCUUAGAGAAGCUCAGUAAAGCAGAGUUCGAAAUCAAAGCACUGCAAACAGUAACUAAACAGAUGAUGCUGACUGAGGAAGAGAUGGAAGAGGUUGUUUUAAAGAGAUGCUGGCUUGCUCGUUAUUAGAGUUUAUGUGUGGAACAUGGUAAAGUGUUGAUCUUUCAAUACACAAAGUUCCUGAUUGUUUUUGAGUUGAUGCUGCUGUAUUGGAUAAACAGCUGCUUAUAUGUAAUCACUAUAAACGAUAGAAUGCUGCAAUCUGUUAUAACGGUUGAGUAAUCCUGGUAGUAGUUGAAGUUGACACAGUUUCUAUAAUGUGCAAAUCUGUAACUGUGUUUUUACAUUUUGCAUGGAGUUGCUUAGAUUCCUUGAGAACAUCACGUUUUGCAGGUAUUCAGGCCGAUAUAGCCUGCGUGAAAUACGACUAUUGGUCAUCAUUUGCUCCUCUUCCUUUUGAAAUAGUAUUGGCUGCUGGACAAAGAGCCAGAGAGGAGGAUA